GAUGAACGCUGGCGGCGUGCCUAAUACAUGCAAGUCGAGCGAACAGACGAGAAGCUUGCUUCUCUGAUGUUAGCGGCGGACGGGUGAGUAACACGUGGGUAACCUACCUAUAAGACUGGGAUAACUCCGGGAAACCGGGGCUAAUACCGGAUAAUAUUUUGAACCGCAUGGUUCGAUAGUGAAAGACGGUUUCGGCUGUCACUUAUAGAUGGACCCGCGCCGUAUUAGCUAGUUGGUAAGGUAACGGCUUACCAAGGCGACGAUCCGUAGCCGACCUGAGAGGGUGGUGGGCCACACUGGAGCUAGGACACGGGCCAGACGCCUACGGGAGGCAGCAGUAGGGAAUCUUCCGCAAUGGGCGAAAGCCUGACGGAGCAACGCCGCGUGAGUGAUGAAGGUCUUCGGAUCGUAAAACUCUGUUGUUAGGGAAGAACAAAUUUGUUAGUAACUGAACAAGUCUUGACGGUACCUAACCAGAAAGCCACGGCUAACUACGUGCCAGCCGCCGCCGUAA
rnacentral:rRNA from 1 species